AGUGAACGCUGGCGGUAGGCCUAACACAUGCAAGUCGAACGGCAGCACAGUAAGAGCUUGCUCUUACGGGUGGCGAGUGGCGGACGGGUGAGGAAUACAUCGGAAUCUACUUUUUCGUGGGGGAUAACGUAGGGAAACUUACGCUAAUACCGCAUACGACCUACGGGUGAAAGCAGGGGAUCUUCGGACCUUGCGCGAUUGAAUGAGCCGAUGUCGGAUUAGCUAGUUGGCGGGGUAAAGGCCCACCAAGGCGACGAUCCGUAGCUGGUCUGAGAGGAUGAUCAGCCACACUGGAACUGAGACACGGUCCAGACUCCUACGGGAGGCAGCAGUGGGGAAUAUUGGACAGUGGGCGCAAGCCUGAUCCAGCCAUAUCGCGUGGGUGAAGAAGGCCUUCGGGUUGUAAAGCCCUUUUGUUGGGAAAGAAAAGCAGCAGGUUAAUACCCCGCUGUUCUGACGGUACCCAAAGAAUAAGCACCGGCUAACUUCGU
rnacentral:rRNA from 1 species